CUAUUUCAGCAGCACAUCUCCUAAAAUUGGAAUGAUGAAGAGAAGAUUAGCAUGAUCUCUGUAUAAGGAUGACACACAAAUUUGUGGGAAAAAUAGCAUACUUUA